GGGACCGAUCGGUUUCGACGGUGAUCUGUUCGUCGUAGGGAAGCGUGUCGAGAAUACGGAGUCCACUCGUGAUGCCCUCCGUGAAAAAAUAAGUGCUAAAUCUAAUCGCACUGAGUUUGCUCUCGCUGCCUAAGCCUCGCGCUAGGAUUUAACCAGCGAGUUGUCACUCCGUUCACUCUUCUGUGUCUUUGGGAAGAUGUUGAGCGUCGUUUAAAAGACUUGCUUUUAUUAUUGUGCUACAGGAUAAUAAGGGGACUUUAACUGUGGAUAUGCUUGUCGUCGGUUGUUUGCGAUAUAGACGAGAGCAGAAAAAUUGCCAUACGGCCAGCAAACUACGCACGUAGAAUAAUAUGGGUACGGUUACCGGACCGGGGUUCAAUUCCCCGCGGUUCCACUC
rnacentral:tmRNA from 1 species